AAAGUCGCUUCCAUUAUACUCACUCUUUAAAGUCUUUAUAACUCUUCCUUUAAAGUCUAGGGAGAUGAUUGUGAGAUUCAGAAAGAGAAGAAGACAGCUGUGAUAACCCCUUGAGUGAAUGAACUACCUGAAUGAACUUUCUAGCUAUCUCAAGAAUCCAUUUGGAGCCACUGUGAUGCAAGGCUGGAGAAUGUGCCUUCAUGCCAGUUUUAAUGGAUAAGUACCAAAUUCCAUGCAUUUUGUUUACUCCAAUAAAAACUUGGUUAUUUUAAAGCUAUCUGAGUUAAAACCAUCAGGAUAAUCUCAGUUAUCUGAAUUCCCUUUAUCCAGAAAUCCUAAUUAUCCGAAUGCACAGUGGGUCCCUCCCGUAGUGCUGUGUUAGUUAAUCACCCUCUGAUGAACUAACCUUAGGGCUGUGGGAGCUGCGAUUUGGGAGGAUUUCCAGAGUUAGCGAUGAAGACAAGGAAAAAAGGGAAGAAUUAGGGAGAAGGUGGGGAGGGAGAGAAAAGCAAACAGACAAGAAAGAAACAGAUGAAGGGGUUAAGGUGAAGACUGAAAGGAAAAGGGGUCAAGGAGAGACAGGAGAAAGGGAGAGACAGGACAGCAGUUAAGGGAAAGAUCAGGGCAGGAGGGAGGGGAAUGAAGAGAGACAGAGGAGGGUGGAGGAGAGAAAAAGAUCAGUAUUUCCCCAUGACCUAUAAAUACAGGGACUUUGUCUCCUCUCUGUCUUUGUGUCUCUUCUCUCCAGUGACACUGAGUUCCUGACCAACCUUCAGCCAUGAAGAUCCUUUAUCUGCUCUUUGCUGUCUUCUUUCUGGUGCACCAGGGUGCAACAGAAUUCUCCCAGGCUCAGAAUCUCAACAGGAGAUGUAUACUCCGGGGGGGUACCUGUUUCUAUCUGAGAUGCCCCCCUUUUGUAAGGACACUCACUGGAAGAUGCUUCAGCGGUGGUGUUUGUUGUGCAAGGGGACUGUGAUUCUGAUUGUCUAGGCAGGAUAUCUGGGAAUCUGGGAGACAGCCACUUGCUUCUAAAAUCAUUGGAUCCUACUUCAAGGGAACUCUGAAGUACUGUUUGUUUAGGCUCUAAAGAACCUUAUGAGCUGGAAAAAUUCCAGAAGGGAGACCUUUUAUCCCCCAUAUAAGAUUUGUUACUUUUCUUUUAAUAAAAGCAAGU